rnacentral:rRNA from 1 species
AACAGGAUUAGAUACCCUGGUAGUCCACGCCGUAAACUAUGGAUGCUAGCUGUAAGAAGUAUCGACCCUUCUUGUAGCGAAGCUAACGCGUUAAGCAUCCCGCCUGUGGAGUACGGUCGCAAGACUAAAACAUAAAGGAAUUGACGGGGACCCGCACAAGCGGUGGAGCGUGUUGUUUAAUUCGAUGGUAAGCGAAGAACCUUACCCAGGCUUGACAUCCUGUGAAGGUCUCCGAAAGGAGACUGUGCCUUCGGGAAUACAGUGACAGGUGAUGCAUGGCCGUCGUCAGCUCGUGUCGUGAGAUGUUUGGUUAAGUCCAUCAACGAGCGCAACCCUUGUAGUUAGUUGUAUUUUUCUAGCUAGACUGCCCUGGUAACAGGGAGGAAGGGGGGGAUGAUGUCAGGUCAGUAUUUCCCUUACGUCUGGGGCUACAGACACGCUACAAUGGCCGGUACAAAGGGCAGCCAAAGCGCAAGCUGGAGCAAAUCCCAUCAAAGCCGGUCCCAGUUCGGAUAGCAGGCUGAAACUCGCCUGCUUGAAGAUGGAAUCGCUAGUAACGGUAGGUCAGCACACUACCGUGAAUACGUUCCCGGGUCUUGUACACACCGCCCGUCAAACCAUGAAAGUCGCCAAUACCUGACGUGUUAGCCUUGCCUAGCCCUAAGGUAGGGGAGAUGAUUGGGGUUAAGUCGUAACAAGGUAACC